rnacentral:rRNA from 1 species
GAUGAACGCUGGCGGCGUGCCUAAUACAUGCAAGUCGAGCGAACAGACGAGGAGCUUGCUCCUCUGACGUUAGCGGCGGACGGGUGAGUAACACGUGGAUAACCUACCUAUAAGACUGGGAUAACUUCGGGAAACCGGAGCUAAUACCGGAUAAUAUAUUGAACCGCAUGGUUCAAUAGUGAAAGACGGUUUUGCUGUCACUUAUAGAUGGAUCCGCGCCGCAUUAGCUAGUUGGUAAGGUAACGGCUUACCAAGGCAACGAUGCGUAGCCGACCUGAGAGGGUGAUCGGCCACACUGGAACUGAGCCACGGUCCAGACUCCUACGGGAGGCCGCAGUAGGGAAUCUUCCGCAAUGGGCGAAAGCCUGACGGAGCAACGCCGCGUGAGUGAUGAAGGUCUUCGGAUCGUAAAACUCUGUUAUUAGGGAAGAACAAAUGUGUAAGUAACUAUGCACGUCUUGACGGUACCUAAUCAGAAAGCCACGGCUAACUACGUG